AACAAACUGUAGUCCCUAUCAUUGUAACAAACUGGAGGUCGACUACUUUAUCAGCUGGACCCAAACUUUUGGCAAUCUUGCCCAGUUGGAAUAUAAUACAGCUAAACUGCACCAGUAACAAGAAUUCUUUUAAAAUAUACUCUGGAAAGGAAAAAAAGCUUUUAGAUGUUCCAAAUUGAUGUUGGAAAUGUCCGCCUACAAUUUCAAAGUACAGCAUAGCAUUUCUUGCCCAAAUGAAGCCAGGCGUCCGAGGUCCUCACAUCAAGAUGGGCCAGAUGGGACCUUAUAUUUGUAGCGUAAAAUUUCAUAAUGAUGAAGCUAGAUGAUUCAGAUUCACUAUGCCAGAAAGGACUGUCUUGUUCCGUUCUUUCACCUUCACUUGGUACAUUACACUGCACAAUCAUAAUCUCCAUGUAAGUCCUCAGAAUAAAUUCUAGUGAUAAAACAGAACAUAAGAACCUAACAUCAAACAAUACCUUGAGCCUUCUAGCCACAUCUCUGUUGCUAAUGUUUCUCCAGGGUACACAUGCAGAAGUAGUCGACCUGAUAUACUUUUGACCAUGCUGGGGUCUCCUCCACAUAUACAUCUGAUUAUAGCUCUGACUGCAAACCCAAGAGUGCAAAGCCCAUGCAGUAUAGGGCGAGAAAAUCUGGACAAAUUAAUAUAAAAAUAGUGAAAAAUUCAGAAUGGAGACAACAAUGUAUGAAGGCGGAAAAUUACCAAUAUAAUUUGUUAUAAUUAAUUAACAGGAGACAACAAAGGUAUCCCAUAUUAUAAUUUGAACAGAGGAUAAUUGUAUUUUAAGAGUUAAGAUUGGAUGAGCUAUAAGCAAGAUUAUAUAAAAUCAUAUAACUGGUUAAUGCACUAACCCUGCCUUUCCUGCAAACGCUGGAUCAGAGUGCAAAGGAUUAUAAUCACCAGACAACCUGUAUAGCAAUGCCUGCACAACACCAUCACAAGUUUCCAGCAUCACUAAACAAACUUCACACGAUGCAAAUGCAUAUAUGUUAGUUUUAAGCAACUAUUUAGUCACAAUGUUGUGUGAGCUCUUGAAUUUUGCAGUUAAUCAUAUUUAAUUCCUAAAGUAGUUGGAGUCGGCCAACGAAUCCUUUGUUGCAAUUACCCCUUGUCCCCACUUUUUUCCAUGGGAGUGACUCAACUUAUGUAGUAUUCGGUCAAACCUAUUCUGUAAGAUAAGCCUGAUAUGACAAAUGUUGCCCUUCUCUACCGCUGUUAAAGGAAAGCAAGGAAACCGGUACCAUACCACCAGGCGCAUAGCUACAAGGUUAGCAGUUGAAGCACAGGGCACUCACCCCAACUAAACUUGCAAUUAUUUACACUUAAUGUAUUUAAUUUAGUAUUUACACCUUAACUUAAAACUUUAACCUAAGGGUCAAGCAUAAAUUUGAGCAUUCGGUUUGGAAUUUAUUAUUUUUUACCAUACUAACAGCGUACACCUGCUUGUUUUAUAUCUUUCUUGGCUAGUCCGCUGAGGUUGGUUUGUGUCCAUCACUCUUACUAUCCGCUCAUUGAGAAAUCUAAACUUAAUGUGAACAAACCAUCUCACUCAAUUCAUACAUAUCAUCUAAUCGAUCAUAUCUGGUUACACCUCCAUUUAUUAAGUCUACGAAGGUGUAUACCUACAGGUGACAGUUUGCAGCUCCAGUAAAAAUCAAUAUAUAAGGUGAAGAGGGCUUUCCAUAAUUCUAUCUUUGACACAUUUAUAACUAUUCUGUGCUAAGUCCUCUCAGAUCGAUCAAAAAGGGUUGAUACUAGCAUCCUCUUAAGACAGUCCAGAACCCCUAUAUGAAUGAUGUGAAAUAUGAAGAAAUCCAAGCCCGUAGAAUCACUAGUCUAAUUCAUCAACUCAAUAUAUUAUAAGUACUUUCAAAGAAGCAAAGAUGGCAGAUUUAGAAAUCAGAAAGAAACCAAAAGUACAGAACAAAAACAAUUAAGACAUACCUGUGACGGCAGAGUACAUUCCUCGUAAACUGCAAAGGGCUGACUUUUUGGAUGCUUAAAAGCUAAGCUUUGAUUGGUGAGAUAGUUCGAGUAAGAAUAUGGGCGUUGUGCCUUUGAGAAGCCCCCAGCACCCCUUAAAAAUAGUGUUAACCUGUACAUUAAAAUAUGUACUGAGUAAACUGCAUAUAAAUCAAAGAACAUUACUCGCUUAAGAAAUGGGUUUCCAUAUCAAAGUAGCUACCGUUCUUGUCAAAAUAUCUCACCUAACUACCCGAUCACCCCGAGGACUGAUUUAAAGCACUCGAAUCACUAUAUAUAUCGCUCGUAAAUUUUGAAGAACAAAUUUAUUAGAACUGGAGACUGUUUUCUAAUAGAUCAUUUUUAAGCAUAGGCAAUGCGGAUUUUCUGGUUUGAUCACUAAAGAUUAAGUGCAAGAACCAAUUAGGGCUGAAGGUGUAAAGAGAAGAUUAUACGAACAUAUUAUAUAUGGGUAUAUAUAUGUUUUAAUGUGCCUCUACAUGUAUAAUUAUGAUUUAUUUUUAUUAUAUGAGCCAAGUGUAAUACACCUCAUUAUUUAACUAGGAUUCGGUUAAGUGUUCUGUUGAUGUAUUUUCUAGAUUUAAACCAGUGAUAUACUGAUAUUUAUAGUGAUUUGACUCUUUAAAAUGAGUCCCAGUGGAGAUUGGGUAGCUAGUUGAGAUUUUUUAACAAGAACCGAUGUCCACUUUGAUAUAAAACCCUUAAGAAACUUACCGAUUCAUGCAGAUCGGCUCAUCAGAUGACUCCAUACAACUUGUAACUUCAAUUUCAAUAACAGCUGCUUUACCUAAAAAUUAAAAGGCAUGCUACAAUGAGAACAAAAGCGAAUUAAUUUCAACACCAAUAAGCUAGCAUAGUAUAAAUGUAUAAUAGACUGAUGGACAGCAGGUAACAAGAAUAUUGUGACAGAACAACUUGUAACAAAAACAAUACUGCAUUUCUUAAAUUUUUUGGUAUAUGUCUUUUGUUGCCUCCAGUUUUUGAACAAUGUAUUACAAUCAAGAUUUUCAGUAUAUCGAAAUUUGUA
rnacentral:lncRNA from 1 species